rnacentral:tRNA from 1 species
UGGGGUAUCGCCAAGCGGUAAGGCACCGGAUUCUGAUUCCGGCAUUCCGAGGUUCGAAUCCUCGUACCCCCA